GACAGAACCCUCAGGGAGCUGUGAGGAAGGCUUCUACUGCAGAGAAAGAGCCAGAUCUGCAACUCCAGUCGACGGGCCGACGGGUGGCCUGUGUCCGGCUGGGAGUUUCUGCCCCGCGGGUUCUGCCUCCCCAAAGCCCUGCCCCCCCGGCACCUUCGGCAACAGCACCGGCCUUGGCAGCGUCCUGCAGUGCCUGGGCUGCCCACCAGGUUUCUAUUGCUCCGCCUCCAACAGCACCUCCCCGACUGGCCCCUGC